UACAGAGGGUGCGAGCGUUAAUCGGAAUUACUGGGCGUAAAGCGUGCGUAGACGGUUAUUUAAGUCGGGUGUGAAAGCCCCGGGCUCAACCUGGGAAUUGCAUUCGAGACUGAAUAGCUAGGGUACGGUAGAGGGAAGUGGAAUUUCCGGUGUAGCGGUGAAAUGCGUAGAUAUCGGAAGGAACAUCAGUGGCGAAGGCGGAUCUCUGGGCCUUACCUGACGCUCAGGUGCGAAAGCUAGGGGAGCGAACAGG
rnacentral:rRNA from 1 species